AACGUAGGAGACAACCGUUAUCCGGAGUUACUGGGCGUAAAGGGCGCGUAGGCGGCUUAUCAAGUCAGGCGUGAAAUUCCCGGGCUCAACCUGGGGGCUGCGCUUGAUACUGAUUGGCUUGAAUGCGGGAGAGGAUAGUGGAAUUCCCAGUGUAGAGGUGAAAUUCGUAGAUAUUGGGAAGAACACCGGUGGCGAAGGCGGCUAUCUGGCCCGUAAUUGACGCUGAGGCGCGAAAGCGUGGGGAGCAAACAGG
rnacentral:rRNA from 1 species